AUACUAAAGGACUCUUCUAACGUUAAACAUGGAACAAAAGAAGAAAGAAAUUUUUGGCAAGUCAUCGGAAGAAGUAAUUUGACAACGAUCGUAUCAUAAAUAAUUGAUCGGCAGUUCAGGUAUUAAUAACAGCUACAGCAUCCAAGUACCGGGAUCGUGUCAAGGACCACCCGCGGCGAGUUGGCCCGACAAUGCCGGGGACAGACGACACGACACAAUCAGGGACUCCCUGUUCCGUUACCAGGCUUGCUAAUAAAUUAUUAAAGGGACACCCUCUGGAAGUGACGUCGGAAUAUUACGGUGUGUUGGAGGGCUGAUACCCCUGCGGCUUCCGCCGCCUCCGACCUCCGCGUCCAGCUUGCCGGUUCGACUGACCUCGUGGAUCCAAAAAAUGACGACAGAAAGCGUCGAUGCGGUUUCGUUGAUCUUCGUGUAAUUACGUUUGUUCUUCAGAACGGUCUGUCUAUGCGCCACUGUCCACACCGAGCAAUAAAAAACACUAUGUCACAAACUUGAAUCACUAACCGGUUAACAGAAUACGGAAACAUUCUUUCCACGAGUCACUGAUAUAUCGUGCCACUGCUUGUGUUCAAUUGAACGAGAAAUUUUCCACGUCACCCUUCAAAACGACGAAGAGGUAAUAUCGUGCCAGUAAAAACUAAGUGUGCCUGGCUUCUUGUUUACGACGCGUGUAUUUUAACCUCACGAUGUGUUAUUGGAAGUUUAGUAAAUACAGCGACUACGACACCGAACAUUUCUCAGAAUUCGUGCACUAAUCUGUCAACACCACAACAGAAUUGCGAGGAAAUUGGAUAAAGUACAGUUCAGGGUUACCAAACACGUAAAAUUUAUAACGAAGCACUGCUCGUUUGACAUUUACCGACAUGUUUGCGAGAUAUCGAUAGAUCGACAUAGAGGCCGCGUUUCGAAAGGUUUACGACAAAUGUGAGGGUUGAACGAUUCAGAUAGCUAUACACGCGAUCGUGGCUCGAUAGACAGCAGCGAAGCGGUGCGAGAAUCGCGAAACAGAUCGGUUAAGAAUCGGGACCGAUCUCGGUUCGAUCGGUGACAUGCGCGCGGCUACGAACCUGUUCGUCCAUUCUUCGCCCCCUCGACGGGAUUAGCGCGUGCAUUCGUCCGGUAGCGAUGGUGAAAAGCGAGCAUUCACGGGUAUGGACAAUGACGACGACGACGACGGCGACGAGUCGGCGUGGUGCGUGUCCGCCUUAAGGGCCGUCCGUCGCAGACGCAUGCUCGCGGCACGUUGCAGCCUCUCGCACUGACCGCGCGUAACACGUAA
rnacentral:misc_RNA from 1 species